GCCUCUGGCCAUACCACCCUGAGAACGCCUGAUCUCAUCUGAUCUGUGAACUUAAGCAGGGUUGGGCCCGGUUAGUACUUGGAUGGGAGACAGCCUAGGAAUACCGGGUGCUGUAUGCU
rnacentral:rRNA from 1 species